rnacentral:rRNA from 1 species
UAGUCCACGCCGUAAACGAUGAUUACUCGUUGUUGGCGAUACAUAGUCAGCGACUGAGCGAAAGCAUUAAGUAAUCCACCUGGGGAGUACGUUGGCAACAAUGAAACUCAAAGGAAUUGACGGGGGCCCGCACAAGCGGAGGAACAUGUGGUUUAAUUCGAUGAUACGCGAGGAACCUUACCUGGACUUAAAUGUAGAUUGCAUAGAGUAGAGAUAUUCUUUUCUUCGGACUAUUUACAAGGUGCUGCAUGGUUGUCGUCAGCUCGUGCCGUGAGGUGUCGGGUUAAGUCCCAUAACGAGCGCAACCCCUGUUGUUAGUUACCAGCACAUAAUGGUGGGGACUCUAACAAGACUGCCGGUGUAAACUGCGAGGAAGGUGGGGAUGACGUCAAAUCAGCACGGGCCCUUACGUCCAGGGGCUACACACGUGUUACAAUGGUCGGUACAAAGGGGCAGCUACACUGCGAAGUGAUGCUAAUCUCGAAAACCGGGUCUCAGUUCGGGAUCGGGAGUCU